rnacentral:misc_RNA from 1 species
UCUCCGUUGGUGAGCCAGCGGAGGGAUCAUUACAGAGUUGCAAAACUCCCAAACCAUUGUGAACGUUACCUAUCCCGUUGCUUCGGCGGGCGGCCCGGGCCCCGCGCCCGGCGCCCCCCGGCCCCCCGUGGGCGCCCGCCGGAGGUAAACCAAACCCUUGAAUUGCAUGGCCUCUCUGAGUCUGCUGUACUGAAUAAGUCAAAACUUUCAACAACGGAUCUCUUGGUUCUG